rnacentral:rRNA from 1 species
UGGGGAAUUUUCCGCAAUGGGCGAAAGCCUGACGGAGCAACGCCGCGUGAGGGAUGAAGGCCUCUGGGCUGUAAACCUCUUUUCUCAAGGAAGAAGAUCUGACGGUACUUGAGGAAUAAGCCACGGCUAAUUCCGUGCCAGCAGCCGCGGUAAUACGGGAGUGGCAAGCGUUAUCCGGAAUUAUUGGGCGUAAAGCGUCCGCAGGCGGUCUUGUAAGUCUGUCGUCAAAGCGUGGAGCUUAACUCCAUUUAAGCGAUGGAAACUGCAAGACUAGAGUGUGGUAGGGGCAGAGGGAAUUCCCGGUGUAGCGGUGAAAUGCGUAGAUAUCGGGAAGAACACCAGUGGCGAAGGCGCUCUGCUGGGCCAUAACUGACGCUCAUGGACGAAAGCCAGGGGAGCGAAAGGGAUUAGAUACCCCUGUAGU